rnacentral:lncRNA from 1 species
CAUUUUUAAUCACUCUUUUCUAUGAUGGACAUGACAAGAAUCAAGGUGAUAUGCACAAAGUGGACCAUGUGUGUCUGUCAGUGCCUGCAGGCAGGAGUCAGCAUGCAGGUUUCCACUCCUGAAGUCAGGUCUCUGGAACCGCAGUCCCCGGCCCCAUCCCGCUGUGCACGCAGACAGGCCUUGGUCUUUGGAUGGGGACUGUCCCAGCUGGUAUUGCAGCUAACCUGGGGGUUGAGCUUCUGUCCAGUGCUUAUCCUGUCUAUGUUUACAUAGGACACUAAGCUCCCCUGGGGGUGGGGGGUGGAGAAAGCCAAC